UACGUAGGUCGCAAGCGUUGUCCGGAAUCAUUGGGCGUAAAGAGCGUGUAGGCGGUCCGAUAAGUCCGCUCUGAAAGCCCGGGGCUUAACCCCGGGUCGGCAGUGGAUACGGGCAGGCUAGAGGUAGGUAGGGGAGAAUGGAAUUCCCGGUGUAGCGGUGAAAUGCGCAGAUAUCGGGAGGAACACCGGUGGCGAAGGCGGUUCUCUGGGCCUUACCUGACGCUGAGGAGCGAAAGCGUGGGGAGCGAACAGG
rnacentral:rRNA from 1 species